rnacentral:rRNA from 1 species
AACGAACGCUGGCGGCAGGCUUAACACAUGCAAGUCGAGCGCCCCGCAAGGGGAGCGGCAGUCGGGUGAGUAACGCGUGGGAAUCUACCGAGCCCUACGGAAUAGCUCCGGGAAACUGGAAUUAAUACCGUAUACGCCCCACGGGGGAAAGAUUUAUCGGGGUUUUAUGAGCCCGCGUUGGAUUAGCUAGUUGGUGGGGUAAAGGCCUACCAAGGCGACGAUCCAUAGCUGGUCUGAGAGGAUGAUCAGCCACAUUGGGACUGAGACACGGCCCAAACUCCUACGGGAGGCAGCAGUGGGGAAUAUUGGACAAUGGGCGCAAGCCUGAUCCAGCCAUGCCGCGUGAGUGAUGAAGGUCUUAGGAUUGUAAAGCUCUUUCACCGGUGAAGAUAAUGACGGUAACCGGAGAAGAAGCCCCGGCUAACUUCGUGCCAGCAGCCGCAGUAA